CAGCCGCCGCGGUAAUACCGGCGGCCCGAGUGGCGGUCACUAUUAUUGGGCUUAAAGCGUCCGUAGCCGGGUUGGGAAGUCCUCCGGGAAAUCUGGCCGCUUAACGGUCAGAAUGCCGGAGGAUACUCCCAGCCUAGGGAGCGGGAGAGGCCGAGGGUAUUCCCGGAGUAGGGGUGAAAUCCUAUAAUCCCGGGAGGACCACCUGUGGCGAAGGCGCUCGGCUGGAACGCGGCCGACGGUGAGGGACGAAGGCCAGGGGAGCAAACCGGAUUAGAUACCCGGGUAGUCCUGGCUGUAAACGAUGCGGACUUUGUGUCGGACAAGCUAUGAGCUUGUCCGGUGCCGGAGGGAAACCGUUAAGUCCGCCGCCUGGGGAGUACGGCCGCAAGGCUGAAACUUAAAGGAAUUGGCGGG
rnacentral:rRNA from 1 species